rnacentral:rRNA from 1 species
CAGCCGCCGCGGGAAAACAGAGGGUGCGAGCGUUAAUCGGAUUUACUGGGCGUAAAGCGUGCGUAGGCGGCUUCUUAAGUCGGAUGUGAAAUCCCUGAGCUUAACUUGGGAAUUGCAUUCGAUACUGGUUAGCUAGAGUGUGGGAGAGGAUGGUAGAAUUCCAGGUGUAGCAGUGAAAUGCGUAGAGAUCUGGAGGAAUACCGAUGGCGAAGGCAGCCAUCUGGCCUAAUACUGACGCUGAGGUACGAAAGCAUGGGGAGCAAACAGGAUUAGAUACCCCGGUAGUCCCUGUCUUUUAUAC